GGGGAUUUAGCUCAAUGGUAGAGCGCUUGCCUAGUGAGCGAGCACAAGGCCCUGGGUUCGGUCCCCAGCUCCG
rnacentral:tRNA from 1 species